rnacentral:rRNA from 1 species
GAUGAACGCUGGCGGCGUGCCUAAUACAUGCAAGUCGAGCGAACAGACGAGGAGCUUGCUCCUUUGACGUUAGCGGCGGACGGGUGAGUAACACGUGGAUAACCUACCUAUAAGACUGGGAUGACUUCGGGAAACCGGAGCUAAUACCGGAUAACAUGUUGAACCGCAUGGUUCAACAGUGAAAGACGGUCUUGCUGUCACUUAUAGAUGGAUCCGCGCCGCAUUAGCUAGUUGGUAAGGUAACGGCCUACCAAGGCAACGAUGCGUAGCCGACCUGAGAGGGUGAUCGGCCACACUGGAACUGAGACACGGUCCAGACUCCUACGGGAGGCAGCAGUAGGGAAUCUUCCGCAAUGGGCGAAAGCCUGACGGAGCAACGCCGCGUGAGUGAAGAAGGUCUUCGGAUCGUAAAACUCUGUUAUUAGGGAAGAACAAAUGUGUAAGUAACUAUGCACGUCUUGACGGUACCUAAUCAGAAAGCCACGGCUAACUACGUG